AUUGAACGCUGGCGGCAUGCCUUACACAUGCAAGUCGAACGGUAACAGGUCUUCGGAUGCUGACGAGUGGCGAACGGGUGAGUAAUACAUCGGAACGUGCCUAGUAGUGGGGGAUAACUACUCGAAAGAGUGGCUAAUACCGCAUGAGAUCUACGGAUGAAAGCAGGGGAUCGCAAGACCUUGUGCUACUAGAGCGGCCGAGGGCAGAUUAGGUAGUUGGUGGGAUAAAAGCUUACCAAGCCGACGAUCUGUAGCUGGUCUGAGAGGACGAUCAGCCACACUGGGACUGAGACGCGGCCCAGACUCCUACGGGAGGCAGCAGUGGGGAAUUUUGGACAAUGGGCGAAAGCCUGAUCCAGCAAUGCCGCGUGCAGGAUGAAGGCCUUCGGGUUGUAAACUGCUUUUGUACGGAACGAAAAGCCCUGGGUUAAUACCCUGGGGUCAUGACGGUACCGUAAGAAUAAGCACCGGCUAACUACGUGCCAGCAGCCGCCGCAG
rnacentral:rRNA from 1 species